UACGUAGGGUGCAGGCGUUAUUCGGAAUUACUGGGCGUAAAGCGUGCGCAGGCGGUUUGCUAAGUCAGGUGUGAAAUCCCCGGGCUUAACCUGGGAACUGCGCUUGUAACUGGCAAGCUGGAGUGUGGCAGAGGGGGGUGGAAUUCCACGUGUAGCAGUGAAAUGCGUAGAGAUGUGGAGGAACACCGAUGGCGAAGGCAGCCCCCUGGGCUAACACUGACGCUGAGGCACGAAAGCGUGGGGAGCAAACAGG
rnacentral:rRNA from 1 species